AAAAAUGGCUGGGUUAUUUUUUAACCCAAAAUGCUGGGUUGAGUCUGUUGGGUUGUUUUGCUGGGUUAUUUUUUUACAUUUUAAACACUUUUUGGGUAGUUUCAGUUUUCUAGGUGUUGGGUUAAAACUGCUGGGUUAUUAUGUUGGGUUGUUUGAAGAGGCUCAUGUGCUUCGCGCCUUUGAUGUUUGAAUGUGCUCAGCAACAGUCCACGUGAAAGGACAGAGUCACUGGAAGCGGUUGUUUCAAGAGUGUGCAGAGUUUUAACGUCCAUCCAUUGAUGAGGCUAGCAAGACCUUCAUACAACUUCAGCCAAUUGCAACAAAUGUGGUGGAAUUUCUUCUCUGGACAGAAUCCUCGAAACCCUUUCCUUUCGUCCUGGCCAUGGGAAACAUGCAGCAGAUCUCUCAAUCUUUUUUCUCAAUCAGUCUCUCUGAAUACGGAAGUGACUUAAACUGCAAUUCGGCCAAGAUGGCAACGGCAUGCACCGCC